ensembl:lncRNA
CAUGGAAUCAUGUCAUGUGCUGACCAGAAAAGCAUGGAAGUCGCUGGACUGCAGAAAGACAUGACGAAAUGCUGGACGCUUCCACCUGCUUUAUUGGACUCCAGCAGUAAUCAACAGAUUCACGGAUGACUGCAGUACAGGAAUAGGUGGCGUAAGAAGAUCUGGCUUUGUCCAUGUUGACCUUUCCUGGUUGCAUAAGCUGGUUUCCAAUUCAUGCCAGCUUGUAUUGUCUGGGCUCACAGCAGUGUGUGAACCCCCCAAUGGGUGCCAGGCUGAUAUCCAGUAACAUAACACACAAAUGCGCUCAUACACCGUGACCCUUACCAAAAAACCCCUUGCUGUCAGUCAUGCACAAACUGGCUCAUGCUCAGUGGCCUACUUUCUCAUUCUCUGUGGAUUAUGGUUUGGCAGAACCGAAG